UACGGAGGGUGCAAGCGUUAUCCGGGUUCACUGGGUUUAAAGGGUGAGUAGGUGGACAGGUAAGUCAGUGGUGAAAUCUCUGGGCUUAACUCAGAAACUGCCGUUGAUACUAUUUGUCUUGAAUAUCUUGGAGGUAAGCGGAAUAUGUCAUGUAGCGGUGAAAUGCUUAGAUAUGACAUAGAACACCGAUAGCGAAGGCAGCUUACUACAGGAAGAUUGACGCUGAGGCACGAAAGCGUGGGGAGCAAACAGG
rnacentral:rRNA from 1 species